AACGAACGCUGGCGGCAGGCCUAACACAUGCAAGUCGAACGCCCCGCCAGGGGAGUUUCAGACGGGUGAGUAACACGUGGGAACCUUCCCUAUAGUACGGAAUAGCCCAGGGAAACUUGGAGUAAUACCUUAUACGCCCGAAAGGUGAAAGAAUUUCGCUAUAGGAUGGGCCCGCGUAGGAUUAGCUAGUUGGUGAUGUAAUGUCUCACCAAGGCGACGAUCCUUAGCUGGUUUGAGAGAACGACCAGCCACACUGGGACUGAGACACGGCCCAGACUCCUACGGGAGGCAGCAGUGGGGAAUAUUGGAAAAUGGGCGCAAGCAUGAUCCAGCCAUGCCGGGUGAGUGAUGAAGGCCUUAGGGUUGUAAAGCUCUUUUGGCGGGGAAGAUAAUGACGGUACCCGCAGAAUAAGUCCCGGCUAACUUCGUG
rnacentral:rRNA from 1 species